rnacentral:misc_RNA from 1 species
CAACCCUCAAGCGCGGCUUGGUGUUGGGCGCGGCCCGCGCGGCCGGCCCCAAAGGCAGUGGCGGCGCCGCCGGCCCCGAAGCGUAGUACGACUCUCGCUCCCGGGUCCCGCGGUGGCCUGCCAGAACCCCCGACUCUGU